CGGGUGCGUAACGCGUAUAGAACCUACCUUUUACAGAGGAAUAGCCUUUAGAAAUGAAGAUUAAUGCCUCAUAGUAUUGUAGACUGGCAUCAGUUUAUAAUUAAAGAUUUAUCGGUAAAAGAUGGCUAUGCGUCCUAUUAGUUAGUUGGUAAGGUAACGGCUUACCAAGACAGCGAUAGGUAGGGGUCCUGAGAGGGAGAUCCCCCACACUGGUACUGAGACACGGACCAGACUCCUACGGGAGGCAGCAGUGAGGAAUAUUGGACAAUGGAGGAGACUCUGAUCCAGCCAUGCCGCGUGUAGGAAGAAUGCCCUAUGGGUUGUAAACUACUUUUAUACAGGAAGAAACACUGGUAUGUAUACCAGCUUGACGGUACGUAAGAAUAAGGACCGG
rnacentral:rRNA from 1 species